rnacentral:lncRNA from 1 species
AUGGGGAAACCCAACAUAUUUGCUUUCGCACACAAGGAAUGGAGAACAGAGAUUUUAAGUUCUGCUCAUUCAUUCACAUCGCCAGACUCCAUAGAAUUGAAGUUCUCAUCGUCAUCCAGGUUUCAGCAUGAGAUUCGGGACAAACUAGAUCUUGGUCUGAGUCAGGCUCAGCUCCUUCUGAAUUGUAUGAAGCCCCAGGAUUCCAUGGAACAAAGCUGUUGUUGAACUCAGUGAGUCCACCGUGCUGUCCUUGCUGCCUGUUGGGAAGUAGCUGCUGGACGUCUUGAUAGGUGGCAACACUUGCUCUUGUUUUCAGUGAGAAUCUCAGAAACAGCAGGACCAAACAGUUUAGGUGAUGCAUUUGUCUUUUUCUCCCCAUCCUACAGUACUUACGUGUCCAUACUGUUCCUACAUUAGAGAGUUUGUAAUCUUGUUUCUUUUAACCAGCACAUUGAAUAUUUUUAUUAAAUUCAAUUUCUUAUUUACUUUGCAGGUCAAGAGGGCCCUGUAUGCCCUCUGGUCGCUGAUAGAUGUGGUGACCACAAAUUCCCCCCACCCCUUUUUUUUUCUCCUAAGCUAAGCUCCUCUCAACAACUUACAUUUCUUUGUAUUACAUUUUUUUGCCUCUUUAAAAUAGGGAUAAUAAAAAUAUCUCUUUCAUAAGAAUGUGAGCUUUC